rnacentral:rRNA from 1 species
UACGUAGGGACCGAGCGUUGUCCGGAAUCAUUGGGCGUAAAGAGCGUGUAGGCGGCUCGCUAAGUCUUGCGUGAAAUCUCGGGGCUCAACCCCGAGCGGUCGUGAGAAACUGGCGGGCUAGAGUGCGGGAGAGGAGAGUGGAAUUCCUGGUGUAGCGGUGAAAUGCGCAGAUAUCAGGAAGAACACACGUGGCGAAGGCGGCUCUCUGGAACGCAACUGACGCUGAGACGCGAAAGCGUGGGGAGCAAACAGG